GAGGAGCCGGCCAACAACGGCUGGUGGCUCACCGAGUUCCCCUUGCCAACGCCCAAGAUCGUCAACAGUAAGCCGUCCUAGCUGCUUCUCACCUGCAGACCGACGAUUGUUCAUUCAGUAAUAAACACAGUACUGACCAGCUUCAUGAAAAAUGGAAUUGGCAAAGCAGAGGAGAUCAACAACGCCGAGACAGGGACGCGGUCCUUCAUCAAGAACGGCAUCUACAUGGCGGACAUCGGCCCCAGCUUCGCGGCGCACGCGUACCGGCUGCGCAGCACGGCCUUCGACCUGCUGGCGCUGGAGGACCUGCUCGGCAAGGACGCCUCCAACUACGUCAACAAGUACCUCCGACUCAAGUCCACCUUCAUGUACUACGACUUCGACAAGCUCAUCUCCGCCGCCGACGACAAGCCCACCUUCGUCGACCUCGCCAACCGCCUCUUCGACAGCUUCGAGACGCUCCAGGAGGCCGUCACCGCCAAGGACGACGACAGGAUAAGC
rnacentral:lncRNA from 1 species